UCAAAACACAACAUUUCAAAAAACGCAACAUUAACUAAGCACAACAACAAGCUGCGGAAAAGAGAUGGUUGAGCUGUCACCAAACUUUUGCAGCAGCUGUGGCAAGAGGAUUCAAGAAAUAUGUGUUGGAGUUACUCCACGGCCUUCAACACGACAGGCUAUCCCACCCUGCCCGACUCCAGCCUUCAGCACCUUCCUAGAAUACCGACAAAAGAAAAACGAGGAGCAACAAAAGUUUUCUCUAGGGAGAAAGGGGUUAAAAAUAAAAGUUGGGGUAGGUUAGCUAUGACUCCGACUAAAAACAAGCAGCUUUUAUCAAGGAUUCUGGUAUGAAUAAAGUUCAGCGUAACAAAGCGAUGCAGAAUACUUGUUAACCCGUCAUAGCAAAUUGUCAAUUCAUUGAUCAGCCAAAAUAGUAAAUCAGCUAUUGAUUAAUAAAUUACCAACCAUUAUUAUGAUCUAUUUGUAUCCAAAUCUGUGGUUUAAAAGUAAAGGUUUCCAUCAUUCUGCUUUGACUGAUAUUAUUAUUUAAUUGGUCCAUUUGGUUGUUAUUGCAAAAUGUAAUACAAUAAUUAAAAGCAAAAAGAACAAUUUUGACAAUAUUUUUAAACAUUUCUCAGUCUUUCACAUCUUUUUUCUUUCAUAUAAAUGUUGGCUUGAUGGUAAUUCAGAAGGGUGGUCUAAGGCCACAGCGUGGAAGAACAAUUUCCCUUACAACAGACCCAGAUAUCUCUGCUACAACUCUGCUCAGUCAGGCUGUUAAAAAAAUGAAGGACUUCAAGAAAGAUGUAAAAGAUGGGCCUUUCCUUCUUCUGUAUCCAGAUGGGACAGAGGUCAUUAAUAUCCCUGGAACACAAAGACCUUUUUACCCUUGCUUCUUAUAAGGCUGAAGUUGGCAAGUCAUAUCAAAGCAUUACUGUUUUCAUCUGCUUGAAAAGGGACUUUUGAAGAAAGUAAGCUGUGGAGUUUGUGUGUGGAGUUUGGCACACAUUGCCUAAACUUCAACAAAUGUAAAUUUUGAAGUUGUGCAAGUAAGCAUCACUGGCAUAAACCAAUCAAGUCAAUUGUAUACAUACAUUAGCUCCUACAUGUCAAGUUACUUCCUAGAACAUAGAAAGCUUUGGGAUCUGCCGAGUCACGAGUUUUUACCAAUGCUGUGUUUAUGCAUUUGGAUAUGACUUAACAUUGUUUAGCGAAUAUAGUAUUAUCACUUAGUAGAAUUUUUGUUGUUGUUGUUGUUUGUUUCUUUUAUGUUUUGCAGUUGGAAAUUUGUCAGACUUGUCUGACUCUGACCCAGAGAUUGUUAUAAAAAAAUCCUCAGAGUUUGAUCUUGCUGAUACACUGGUAAGUACAAUUUAAAAUGUAUUUGGUCUGUCCUUCUUGUUUUGGUUGUUCGAUGAUCACAAGCACCAUUUACCUUUUACUUCAGCUCCUUAGAACUAUGUAACUGUUUUUAUGUGAAAUGUGUUGUGUGUCUUUACUUCAGCCAUGCGAACCUCUGGAUGAAGGCAGUCCUUUACAAAAAGUGGCUGAAACAGAUCGACUCAGGAUCCAGCAGCGGCUCCCCCGGGGCCUGGAUCAUCACAGAUUUAUCUCCACGGAUUGAGCCAUCCCGAUUCUUUAAGCGAUGCCGGUCCCUUCUGUCUCUGAAGAAACAAUGGAAAAAAAGUGUAAAGGUCAUCAUUCAGGGGCAGUUAUUAUUUUUAAAUAAAACCAAGACAGUCCACCAAUCCUGCGGUUUGGAAAGUGGGCCCGAAAGUCUAUCCCGGCCACCACUGGGUGAGAGGAGGGUGCUAUGGAUAGGUGGCAGGAGAGACACCGGAGAUCCAACCGCACCCAUUCAAACUCACAUCAAUAAUCAAUUUAGAACAGCCAAAUAACCUUAAAUUCAUAUUCAUGUACUGUAGUUAAAGGUCUCUACCAGCUUUGCUCAUUUAAUGGCUGAAUUAUUUGUCUAUUUUUCUUUGCAAAAUAGGUCAAGCUCAGUCAGAUUAGAUGGAGAGUGUCUGUUAACAUUCAUUUUAAGUCUUGCCACCCAUUCUCAAUUGGUUUAAAGUUGGGACUCCGACCAGGUCACUUUAAUGUCAGUAUUGUUUGAUCUAACCGAUUACAUUGUAUCUCUGGCUCUGUGUGUAUGGUUGAUGUCCUGCUGGAAGGUGAACCUUUGUCUCAAUCUCCAGUUUUCUGCAGCCUCUAACAGGUUUUCUGUCAGCAUUGUCCUGUAUUUUGCUGUGUCCAUCUUCCCACCAACCCUGACCUGCUUCCUUCUACCUGCCAAAGAAAAGCAUUCCCACAGCAUAAUGCUGUCACCACCAUGUUUAACCAUGCUUUCUGCAAAUUGCUCAUGCAACUUCUCAUGACUAUAAUUAUGAACUUUUGCAAGGCACCAUAAAGGUCUCAUUCUAAAGAUAACAAGAAAGAAAGACAAUUUCCUACCUGUUUUUGCGGGACGUACGCGAGUGGGAUGAC